rnacentral:rRNA from 1 species
GAUGAACGCUAGCGGCAGGCUUAAUACAUGCAAGUCGAGGGGUCAGCAAUGACACCGGCGGACGGGUGCGUAACGCGUAUGCAACCUACCUACAUCAGGGGGAUAGCCCUAGGAAACUGGGAUUAACACCGCAUAAUAGUAUUGAUGGCAUCAUUGAUAUUUGAAAUAUUUAUAGGAUGUAGAUGGGCAUGCGUAAGAUUAGCUAGUUGGUAAGGUAACGGCUUACCAAGGCUACGAUCUUUAGGGGCUCUGAGAGGAGUAUCCCCCACACUGGCACUGAGAUACGGGCCAGACUCCUACGGGAGGCAGCAGUAGGGAAUAUUGGGCAAUGGAGGCAACUCUGACCCAGCCAUGCCGCGUGCAGGAAGGCGGCCCUCUGGGUCGUAAACUGCUUUUGAAUGGGAAGAAUGUGAUGUUUGCGAGCAUUAAUGACGGUACCAUUAGAAUAAGCCACGGCUAACUACGUGCCAGCCGCCGCGGUAA